AUCGGUUAUUUGAUGAAUUCUUAAGGGAAAAUCCAUACAUCGUUCAUAACAAAUGACAGGCAAGUGGGAUUGUACAUGCUUAAUAUUUCCCCUAAUGGUUCUAGACCAGUUUUGAGGAUAAAAAUUGUUGAGAAGCACAAAGAAGAAUAAGGAGAGAAAGGUUCAACAACACCAUUCGAUCCACUCGCACCCUCAUACCCUACUCAAUCGAUA
rnacentral:lncRNA from 1 species